rnacentral:rRNA from 1 species
GACGAACGCUGGCGGCGUGCUUAACACAUGCAAGUGGAGCGACGAACCAGGGCUUGCCCUGGGGCAAAGCCGCGAACGGGUGAGUAACACGUGGGUAACCUGCCCCGAUGACCGGGACAACCCGAGGAAACUCGGGCUAAUACCGGAUGUGGAACUCUCACAUCAGUGAGUUUUCUAAAGGUAGCUUCGGCUUCCGCAUUGGGAUGGGCCCGCGGCCCAUUAGCUUGUUGGUGAGGUAAUGGCUUACCAAGGCUUCGAUGGGUAGCUGGUCUGAGAGGACGAUCAGCCACACUGGGACUGAGACACGGCCCAGACUCCUACGGGAGGCAGCAGUGGGGAAUCUUGCGCAAUGCGCGAAAGCGUGACGCAGCAACGCCGCGUGGGGGAAGACGGCCUUCGGGUUGUAAACCCCUUUCAGGAGGGACGAAGGUCACACGGUUAAUAGCCGGCGUGACUGACGGUACCUCCAGAAGAAGCCCCGGCUAACUACGUGCCAGCCGCCGCCGUAAGAC